GAUGAACGCUAGCGGCAGGCUUAACACAUGCAAGUCGAGGGGUAGAGUUAGCUUGCUAACUUGAGACCGGCGCACGGGUGCGUAACGCGUAUGCAAUCUACCUUGUACAGAGGGAUAGCCCAGAGAAAUUUGGAUUAAUACCUCAUAGUAUUAUUGAAUGGCAUCAUUUGAUUAUUAAAGUUCCAACGGUACAAGAUGAGCAUGCGUCCCAUUAGCUAGAUGGUAAGGUAACGGCUUACCAUGGCAACGAUGGGUAGGGGUCCUGAGAGGGAGAUCCCCCACACUGGUACUGAGACACGGACCAGACUCCUACGGGAGGCAGCAGUGAGGAAUAUUGGUCAAUGGGCGCAAGCCUGAACCAGCCAUGCCGCGUGCAGGAAGACGGUCCUAUGGAUUGUAAACUGCUUUUAUACGGGAAGAAACCCUGCUACGUGUAGCAGCUUGACGGUACCGUAAGAAUAAGCAUCGGCUAACUCCGUGCCAGCAGCCGCAGUAA
rnacentral:rRNA from 1 species